rnacentral:ncRNA from 1 species
UUAGCGUGUGCGCGAGUCAUUGGGAGUUGAAAACCCAAGGGCGUAAUGAAAGUGAAGGUCUCCUUGCGGAGCUGAUGUGUGAUCUCGUGCACCCCGGUGUGCGGGCGCAACAUAGUCCCGUCCCGAUCGCAUGCGAUGGGGCGGAGACAGAGCGUACGCGCUGA